CAGUAUCCGUUCGAGAGGAGAACUAUGGUGGAAAAACUUAAUGUCAAAGAGCUUGGACCAGAUCAGCCCGACGUAAAGAUAAGCCAGCAGGAGAAGGAGAGAGGUAAACUGUACACACUAGGCUUCUCUCGAAAUUGGUACACCAGGAAGGCUUGGCUAGCUGGAUGCAAUCACGCUAAUGCGUUAUUUUGCUUUCCGUGUUUGUUAUUAAAAACGGCUGGGACAGAUAAGGCAUGGAUGAGUCAGGAGUUACAGACAUGAAACAUUUUUCUGAGAAGGUGAAGAAACACGAGUCAUCCCGGGCACACAUGGACAACAACACGGUCAAGCUAGCCAUGCUAGGCAGCAGAGCUAACGUUGCCAUGCAGGGAACAACAGCAGCUGGGUGCAGAGGUUUUUCACACCAUCCUGAGCCAUGCAAAAGAAGAUUCUUGUCACCACACCCAUGACCACAGCCGAAUCAGAAAGGUCCUUUUCUACUUUAAAGAGGAUUAAGACUUUCCUUGAGGAACACCAUGACACAGGAUGGGCUGAAUGCUCUUGCCAUGCUCUCCAUGGAAAAAAAAGCUUGUCACAAACAUUCCUGACUUCAAUAAAAAGCUCAUCGAGAGCUUUGCCACUCAGAAGGACAGAAGGGCAAAAUUUCUGUACAAAUGAGGUAUCACACACACACAAAUGCAUCCACUUGAUCUUUGUAUAAAGUUGACCUUGGCACAACACUCCAGAAAUAUUUAACAGUGUAAAUUUCUGGCAUUUUGUCUAAGUAGUGUUUACUACCAUUACUGUAACAGUGACCUGCUCAUAAUUUUUGGUGUUCACUCAAAUGUUGAAAUUAAACAAAAUGUUUUUGUUA